rnacentral:tRNA from 1 species
GGAGAGAUGUCCGAGUGGCUUAAGGUGCACGCCUGGAACGCGUGUUUAGAGGAAACUCUAUCGGGAGUUCGAAUCUCCCUCUCUCCG